rnacentral:piRNA from 1 species
ACCUGGGACAGCUGGGGACGCAGA